rnacentral:rRNA from 1 species
GUGUCAGCAGCCGCGGUAAUACGUAGGGGGCAAGCGUUGUCCGGAUUUAUUGGGCGUAAAGAGCGUGUAGGCGGCCAGGCAGGUCCGCUGUGAAAACUCGAGGCUCAACCUCGAGAGGUCGGUGGAAGCCGUUUGGCUAGAGUCCGAAAGAGGAUCGCGGAAUUCCCGGUGUAGAGGUGAAAUUCGUAGAUAUCGGGAGGAACACCGGUGGCGAAGGCGGAUCUCUGGGCCAUUACUGACGCUGAGGAGCGAAAGCGUGGAGAGCGAACAGGAUUAGAUACCCUGGUAGUCC